rnacentral:rRNA from 1 species
GGGUGCAAUCAUACAAUACUAAUGCACCGAAUCUCAUCAGAACUUUGCAGUUAAACGUGUUUGGGUAAGAGUAAUAUUAAGUUGGGUGGCCAUUUAAAAAGUUUUUAUGUUCCCU